GAUGAAGAACGUAGCGAAAUGCGAUACUUGGUGUGAAUUGCAGAAUCCCGUGAACCAUCGAGUCUUUGAACGCAAGUUGCGCCCGAAGCCACUAGGCCGAGGGCACGCCUGCCUGGGCGUCACACGCCGUUGCCCCCCCAUCUACUCCUUCGGGAUUGCGGGGGGGCGGAUGAUGGCCUCCCGUGCGCCUAGCCGCGCGGUUGGCAUAAAUACCAAGUCCUCGGCGACGCACGCCACGACAAUCGGUAGUUGCGAAACCUAGGUUGCCCGUCGUGUGCGUUCGUCGCGCAUCGAGGGCUCGAAAAAAUGCUCGGCUCCGGCUGGGCUUUCAACGCGACCCCAGGUCAGGCGGGGUUACCCGCUGAAUUUAAGCAUAUCAAUAAGCGGAGGA
rnacentral:misc_RNA from 1 species